rnacentral:rRNA from 1 species
AUUGAACGCUGGCGGCAUGCUUUACACAUGCAAGUCGAACGGUAACAGGUUAAGCUGACGAGUGGCGAACGGGUGAGUAAUGCAUCGGAACGUGCCCGGUCGUGGGGGAUAACGCAGCGAAAGCUGCGCUAAUACCGCAUACGAUCUGAGGAUGAAAGCGGGGGACCGUAAGGCCUCGCGCGAUCGGAGCGGCCGAUGUCAGAUUAGGUAGUUGGUGGGGUAAAGGCUCACCAAGCCAACGAUCUGUAGCUGGUCUGAGAGGACGACCAGCCACACUGGGACUGAGACACGGCCCAGACUCCUACGGGAGGCAGCAGUGGGGAAUUUUGGACAAUGGGCGAAAGCCUGAUCCAGCAAUGCCGCGUGCAGGAAGAAGGCCUUCGGGUUGUAAACUGCUUUUGUACGGAGCGAAAAGGUCCUUUCUAAUACAAGGGGCUCAUGACGGUACCGUAAGAAUAAGCACCGGCUAACUACGUGCCAGCAGCCGCGGUAA